rnacentral:rRNA from 1 species
UACGUAGGGUCCGAGCGUUGUCCGGAAUUACUGGGCGUAAAGAGCUCGUAGGUGGUUUGUCGCGUUGUUCGUGAAAACUCACAGCUCAACUGUGGGCGUGCGGGCGAUACGGGCAGACUUGAGUACUGCAGGGGAGACUGGAAUUCCUGGUGUAGCGGUGAAAUGCGCAGAUAUCAGGAGGAACACCGGUGGCGAAGGCGGGUCUCUGGGCAACAACUGACGCUGAGGAGCGAAAGCGUGGGGAGCGAACAGG